AGAAUCAACGCUGGCGGCGUGCCUAACACAUGCAAGUCGAACGAGAAAGUGGAGCAAUCCAUGAGUAAAGUGGCGCACGGGUGAGUAACACGUGACUAACCUACCCUUGAGUGGGGGAUAACCUAGAGAAAUCUGGGCUAAUACCGCAUAAUACCUUCGGGUCAAAGGAGCAAUUCGCUUAAGGAGGGGGUCGCGGCCGAUUAGUUAGUUGGCGGGGUAAUGGCCCACCAAGACUAUGAUCGGUAUCCGGCCUGAGAGGGCGCACGGACACACUGGAACUGAAACACGGUCCAGACUCCUACGGGAGGCAGCAGUGGGAAUUUUGCGCAAUGGGGGAAACCCUGACGCAGCAACGCCGCGUGGAGGAUGAAGUCCCUUGGGACGUAAACUCCUUUCGAUCGGGACGAUAAUGACGGUACCGAGAGAAGAAGCCCCGGCUAACUUCGCGCCAGCAGCCGC
rnacentral:rRNA from 1 species